UACGUAGGGUGCAAGCGUUGCUCGGAAUCACUGGGCGUAAAGGGUGCGUAGGCGGGUCUUUUAAGUCAGGGGUGAAAUCCUGGAGCUCAACUCCAGAACUGCCUUUGAUACUGAAGAUCUUGAGUUCGGGAGAGGUGAGUGGAACUGCGAGUGUAGAGGUGAAAUUCGUAGAUAUUCGCAAGAACACCAGUGGCGAAGGCGGCUCACUGGCCCGAUACUGACGCUGAGGCACGAAAGCGUGGGGAGCAAACAGG
rnacentral:rRNA from 1 species